rfam:Bombyx mori DNA, contig: Bm_scaf91_contig34492, strain: p50T/Dazao, build 2, whole genome shotgun sequence.
UUAACUCAAAAUUGUAUGGAGUUGGAACGUUUGUAUACGUUUGCCGCUAGGGGCGCUGUUCCAACUGCAUACAAAUUUGAGUUA